AUAGAAAGGGACAGAGAGGAAGAGCUAUCUAACCGAGUUGUGUGCACUCGGCCCCUUAGCUAAGGUUGGUUAAGAAAAGGGUUGGCUCCAAAAAAAUCACAGGUAUAGCUAGAGAGAAAGGAGAGGGAGUUAUAGCUAAAAAUGAAACAAAAGUGGAGCACGGUAAAGGCAUGUCUUUGCCUUGCUUCUCUAACAAGGGCUAGCUAAAAAGAGAGGAGGUCAGUAAUAUUGUGAGGGGGGCAAACAAGAAGGAUAAGAAUAGGGGUGGAGAGGUUCGGUUGGCUUUGAAGCAAAACCGUCAACUUCUAGUGCGAGGAUUCUCGGUGAUAGGGAGUUGGAGUGCAAGCCUAGAACCACGGAGAAUUCGCUCCUCCUCACCCUCUUUUGUUUUCUUUUAAGUAUUUUUUUUUGUUCUUCUUGUUAGAGUUUCUAAUAUGUGGACAUUAUUUACCUUCUUUUACAUGUCUGUACAUUU
rnacentral:lncRNA from 1 species